UAGUUCCAAACCACAAGGACCUUUUGACGUCACACAAUGAGUUGGGGACAUUGACUAUGAGAUAGAGGUUAGACAGGUCAGUUUAGCACCACAGGGAAUGGGCAGCUAUGUCCCCUAAAUUGAUAAGACAGCAGAGACCGAGACCUGUGGGAAUGCAAACAGGGAAGAACAAAACAUAUUCAGUAAGAGAAGCCCAUAAGUGUAGUGUCAGACGUGCUGAUGGAUGGAGGGAGGAUCACGUGACAGAUCGAUUCACCAUAUUAGCUGAUUCAUCAUGGCUGAAACAGAGAGCGUUAGUGUCAGACUCAGGGAUUUAUAACUGUAACGAUUCUUCUGUCUUCAGUCUCAUUACUACUCCAUCACAAGUGUGAGACAGAAGACUGAGAUGAUGCUCUGUAUUUUUCUUUCCCUCCUGCUCGGGCAGUGUGUGCUGCGCUCAGCUCAGUCUGACGUAUUUGUUCAGAGAAUCGCAGCAGGCAGUGAAAUCACUGUUUCCUGUGAAAAUGAGGGGAGAGUGUCGUGGAGUAAACAAGCUGAUGGAAAGAGAGAUGUUAUCUUCAAAGCUUCAAAUGAAGACCCUGAGCAAGUCAAACCUUCUGAUGCCAGAUAUAAACUAUUAUCUAAUUUAUCCCUCGUAAUAACAGACACGUUAUUGUCCGACUCUGGACUUUACUACUGUAACGCUACUCCUGUGGUGAACCUGCAAGUCACUCAGGUAAAAGGGAUCUCGACUGAUCUCGACACGAACAUAUCUGCUCCAGGUGGAGUGAGUGGUAUUGAACAAGGGUUACCAGUCUUUCUUGCUGCUCUGUUCUUGUUCCUCUUCGCAGUCGAGUGAUCCAUCAACCUCAGCAUCACAUGAAAAAAAAAUAAUUACAUGAUUUGAGAGUUUCAUGAUUUUGAACACAUAUAAAAUAAACAUUGAUUUUAAUUAUA